UUUAAUUCCAACAUUGUCAGUUCUUGUUCGUUGUUUAUAGUUACAUAGUUUAUGGUAACCCAAACGGCUGUCUUGUUUUGUAACCUUAGUCAUCGUCUUCUGUGUAUCCUCGCUUUCUUAUCAUUGUGAAUUAAAGGACUGCUGCACUUAUAUCCUGCCUCAUUUCUACGAAACGUGACAAUAUUACUAUUUCUUGUGUUCUGACAAUUUUACAUAUUUUAAUUUUUUAUGUACGCUUACGCUGUAUUUUUCUUUGCUUUUGUUUCCAAGUUCUGCGCUUGGUUUUCCAAAACUUGUGAGGUGAGUUUCAUGUAAAUCAGGGGGUGUUUUGCGUCACUAUUGGUCCACUAGUUCUUGAUCGACAGCUCCUCUAGCCAAUCAGUGGAAGAGGGGGAGGUGACGUCACUUUAGUGCGACUCCGACGGCUGUCGCUCAAUAUUAUAUUAUUUGUGGUUGAUAGAUACGCUGCUUGUGUCUGUUUUGAGGAUUUUCUGCAGCUCUAGGAAACAAUGUGUUGUCCGAGUAGGUCAUUAUCAUAGUUCGUUAACACAUGUAUCGAGUCAGAUUAAUUUAGUUAGAGUCUUUAGGCAUUAUUUAAGACUUCCUUGUUUGUAGGUUAUUGGCUGCAUAUCUAAAAAAAACACAACUUGAUCUAUUUUUAAUAAGCAUCUUUUGUAAGUAAGUUGUGUAAGAAAGCAGGGAGAGAAGGAUAUCGAAACAAUUGAAGGUUAAAGGAAAAGAUUAAUUAAAUCAUGAGUGCAUUACAGUUCAGUAAGUGGCGAUAUACACAGACUGAAUCACCAAAAACCAAAAGAAGAAGAUCUGAAAGAUAGAUGGUGAUAAACAUCAUCAUGUUGUAACAGACUGAACACGGAAACAAAGACGAGAAACACGUGUCAGUGAAUCACACGGUCAUUAAAGGUAGUUUUUCCUCACUAUAGGUAGUUUGGACUGAUGUAAAUAAAUCCACACCAGCGUAUUUGAAAAGCUCCAGAAAGUUGCAGUCGUUUCUCUACUGAAGGAUGUCUGAACAGAUGGAGAGUUCACUGACUGGCCCGUAUCUCUUCCGGAACAAUCAACCAAUGACCAGCACUUCUGUUUAUGUCUGCUGAAUGUAUAGAACAUGUCAGGAUUUCAGUUUCCUGCAUUUCAUGCUUUCUCUACAGGCUCAAUAAAGGGUGUGACUCUAUAAAUGAUCUAAAAUGAAUCAAAUAUAGCAGGGUAAACUUCUGUAGUAAUGAAUGGGAGACCACAGCAAAUAUAGUCUUUGUGUUCCCAUUUGCUCCAACAGCAAAAUAAAAAAAUCCACUAUUACGUUUCCAUGACUUUCCAAAAGAGGAAAUAAUAGAGAUGAUGACGGUCAGAAGAGAGAAAGAUUAGAAACCCCAACACAACAGCGAUGACUAGUUUACUGGAUUUAUUUAUAUUAAUGUCAGGGUAAUAUAACACAAAGCACAGUCAUAUAAAUAUACUUUAUAUUCUUUAAGAAAUAAGAAAAGGUUUGUUAGAUUUACUCUAUUAAAUGAAUAUGGAAAUACAUAAGAUGUGUGAAAACGUCUGUUCUUGGCAGGUCUUUACACACACUCUUCAUAACCAGAUGAGACUAUGUGCACGUGUCUGCUGGUCUGCAAAAUUGUGCAUUAUCAAAGAAUAUCAAAAGGACUAUUGUGUAAAUGAUGAAUUAUUUGAAAGAGCAAAUAAAAUGACUGGAGUCUUGAUAUA